AAAGCAUCAAAUUGAGAAUCUCUACACAUCAUUUGAACUUUUCUACUCACAAGUUUUACCCUAACAUAUUAUCAAGCAAGUAAUUAUAAAUUCAUUUCAACUUUUCU